AUCCAGGUGACGAGUGCCAAACAGGAUGAAACGUGCGUCUUGGAU
rnacentral:hammerhead_ribozyme from 1 species